CAUUAGGUUUUUGUGUGCGUGUGAAAGAACUAUUCUGAUGACAUGAUUCAAAAUGCCGGUCCGUCAAUUGUUAGGUCAGCUCCGUGUUUACUUGUCGCUUAUAUAACCGGGAUGAAUGUUACAAGAUCGAUGUGCCGAGACUUUCCAUUCCAUAAACCGUUGUGAAUUCUCUAGUUUGACAAUCUAAAAUAUACACGCACUGAAGAGGCUUCGCUCUAGAUGGGUCGUGGUGGAGAAGUAUCGCCAUUUGAUCAAAGGGCCGAACUGACAAGUUCCAACUACUAUUUAUUAUUAUAUAUUAUCAUAUUUGCUUCAUAGCUAGGGUAGGACGUUUGGUGAAACUAAUCAUUCAGCCAAAUUGGACGUGCUUAUUACUGCGACAGCCACAAACAAUGUCCUUUUUUCAGACCAUUUGGUUUAUUGAUUAAUGUUUACAGAUUUUCAACAAAUAUGACAAAAAAAACAUUUCAAAUAAAUGGCCUAGUUUAGCUGAUGCAGGAGCUGUCGUCUGUGGGUGAGACCAAUACCUUGAAUAAACACUACUUGUGUGAUCGUUGCUGUGAAGGUUCUCACUAAUGCUGUUCUUGCCCUGAACACUAGGGGGGGUCCUUGCUCUUCUUUAAAAAGACUGCAACGUAACGCGCAGACUGUUGGGUUGUCAAGACUUCUUUGGUGAAAGCAGCAUUCUUCUAAUAAUUGGAAAAAAAAUGACCACCGAUAAAUUUGUGGUUGGAAGUGACUCAUUUCCACCGGUUGUAAUCCAAAGAGACGGAGGCAUUUAAUCAAAAAAUGUGUAAGUCUACCUCCAUAUGUCCUGUGCACAUGUUUCAUUUUCUCAUUGUUUUCAUUAUGUUACUAUUUUAUUAUUUAUUUUGAGAUUCGUAAAUGGUUUAGUUCUGAAUAGUUAAGUACUAUUCCUGUCUUGCCAUUGCAUAACAUUGCAUUUGGUAUUUAUAAUUAUUUUGUAUUCAAACUGCCAAUACAUUUUGUCCUGUUACUCCCCUGUUUGUAUUGAAUAUUCAUAGAAAAAAAGAAAAUUAAAGCAAUAACCGUCAUACAUCUGCUAUUUUCUCCAUCAUUUCUAAAUAAAUAUAUAGAGAUUUGGUAAUUUAUAUUAAUACAUAUACACUUUUGCAACUAGAACACACUUUUAACAAAGUAGCAUUUGUUUCUC
ensembl:lncRNA